CUUGUACCCAUUCUCUAGGGGAAAAAAUGCACAGAAAGAAAUGCUGGACUCUUAAAAGUUGCUCUGCAUAAUAUAAUAACAAGCUAAUUUCUAUGCAUAAAUUUGGAGAAUUAAGCAUAUACCAUUGAUGAUUCUGUGUUGGCUAAAGGCUCAGAACUUGGGAGCUGUAACUCGAACCAUGGAAGGCUAAACAAGGGAUCUCAGAGGAAAUUAAGCAAUACCACAACCAAGUACGCUGAUUCCUGAACAAGGACAAGGCCAAAAUUAAGCAGAACAGAGUUCAGACACUAUUCUAUUCCAUUCAGUCAAAAUGAACAGUUGAAUGACUGAAAACUUCCAUCAUUUGUGGGUUUAUCUAGAACUGCAUUAGUAUUAUAUAUGAGAAAAGAAAAACCAAAAUUAAGGUCAAGAGAUGAGAGAGGGUUGAAAU
rnacentral:misc_RNA from 1 species